rnacentral:rRNA from 1 species
ACCAAGGCAUUGAUGGGUAGUUGGUCUGAGAGGACGACCAGCCACAUUGGGACUGAGAUACGGCCCAGACUCCUACGGGAGGCAGCAGUGGGGAAUCUUGGACAAUGGGGGAAACCCUGAUCCACGACACCGCGUGGGGGAUGAAGGCUUUCGGGUUGUAAACCCCUUUUCUGGGGGAAGAAUAAGGUUGGGAGGAAAUGCCCAUCCGAUGACGGUACUCCAGGAAUAAGCAUCGGCAAACUUCGUGCCAGCAGCCGCGGUAAGACGAAGGAUGCGAGCGUUAUCCGGAAUUACUGGGCGUAAAGGGCGUCUAGGCGGUUGGGUAAGUCACUUGUGAAAGCCCUCGGCUUAACCGAGGAAAGUCUCGUGAUACUGCCCAGCUUGGGUGUAGGAGAGGGGAGUGGAACUCACAGAGUAGCGGUGGAAUGCGUCGAUACUGUGAGGUACCCCGAUGGCGAAGGCAACUCCCUGGCCUACUACCGACGCUGAAGCGCGAAAGCGUGGGGAGCAAAGGGGAUUAGAUACCCCCGUAGUCCACGCCCCAAACGAUGUUCACUUGGUGUCGGCCGCAAAUAUAGGUCGGUGCCGGAGCUAACGCGUUAAGAGAACCGCCUGAGGAGUACGGCCGCAAGGCUAAAACUCAAGAGAAUUGACGGGUCCCCGCACAAGCGGUGGAGCACGUGGUUUAAUUCGAUUAAGCGAAGAACCUCACCCAGGCUUGACAUACUAGUGGUAGGAACCUGAAAGGGGGACGACCCUGCCUUCGGGUAGGGAGCUAGUACAGGUGAUGCAUGGCUGUCGUCAGCUCGUGUCGUGGGAUGUAGGGUUAAGUCCCGAAACGAGCGCAACCCUUGUCGUUAGUUGCCAGCGGGUAAUGCCGGGGACUCUAGCGAGACUGCUGGUGAAUAGCCGGAGGAAGGCGGGGAUGACGUCAAGUCAUCAUGUCCCUUAUGCCUGGGGCGACACACAUGCUACAAUGGGGGGUACAGAGGGUCGCAAUACCGUAAGGUGGAGCCAAUCUCAAAAAAACCCUCCUCAGUUCGGAUUGAGGUCUGCAACUCGACCUCAUGAAGCCGGAAUCGCUAGUAAUCGUAGGUCAGCCAUACUACGGUGAAUAUGUACUCGGGGAUUGUACACACCGCCCGUCACACCAACCGAGUGGGGGGUACCUGAAGUCGUCUCCAUGAGGCGCCGAGGGUAACCUUCGCAAGAGGGGUGAAGUCGUAACAAGGUA